rnacentral:tRNA from 1 species
ACUAUUUUGGCAGAUUAUUGUAUUGAAUUUAGAAUUAAUUUAUGUGGAUUUAUGUUUCACAAAUAGUA